rnacentral:rRNA from 1 species
CGGUAACAGCUCAAAUUUGAAAUCUGGGUCUUUCAGGCUCCGAGUUGUAAUUUGUAGAAGAUGCUUUGGGUGCGGCCCCGGUCUAAGUUCCUUGGAACAGGACGUCAUAGAGGGUGAGAAUCCCGUAUGUGAUCGGUGGCUUGCGCCCGUGUAAAGCUCUUUCGAC